CUCGCCGUCACCAGGACAGAAAGGAUAUCAAUAUGAAAGUCACUGUGUGUUUCCUUGUCGUUCUUGCCCUUGUGGCUCUGACCUCAGCCGGCUACGGCAUUGGCUAUGGUGGAUACGGAGGUUACGGCUUGGGCUACGGUGGCUACGGUGGCUACGGUGGCUACGGACUUGGAUUUGGCAUAGGCCGCACCUACUACUUCGACAACCAGAGGGCGGCGCCUUACUUCGGUUAUGGUGGAUACGGGCUCGGAUAUGGUGGCUACGGUGGCUUCGGCGGAUACGGUCUCGGCUUCAAGGGCUAGCAUCUACGGCUAAGCGCUUCUUCUGCAUACAUGUUCUGAAGGACCGGGACCUACAACGUGGCGGACAACUUUUGACCAGCGAGCUCUGUGUUAUAUGUGAAUAUUUUCAAUAAAUGUGCCUCAGCAGCCAAAGACAA